UGAUGUUUAUUUUGUUUUUUUGCUUUCGUUCUUUUCAUUUGUUCCUGUUUGAUGUUUUGUGUUAGGGUUUGAUUUCAUAAUUGCAGUGUGUUAGGGUUGCUGAUGUUUGUUUUUAUUUUGUUCCAACAAGGAAGUUGAAACCAACAAUGACGGUGCUUUCGGGUUUAUUUUGAUUUUUCCUUUCGUUCUUUUCAUUUAUUAUUGUUUGAUGUUAGAUUUUGGGGUUUGAUUUCACCGAUGUUGUGCGUUAUGGUUGGUGACAUUGUUUUUUUUUUUGGAUGAGGAAAUUGAAACCGACAAUAAAGGUUCAUUCAAGUUUAUUUGUUUUUUUUCUUCAUUUUUUUCAUUAGUGCCUGUUUGAUGUUAUGUGUUGGGUUUGGUUUUGCCGAUUUUGUGUGUUAGGGUUGCUGACGUUGGCUUUAAUUUUGUUCUUUGAUGUUGGGUGUUGGGCUUCGAUUUCGCUAGUGGGGUGGGUUAAGGUUUCUAAUGUUGGUUUUUCGUUUGUUCCUGUUUGAUGUUAAUUGUUGGGCAUUAGUUUUUGCGGUUUUUUCAUUGGUUGGUGCAAGUUACUUUUACGUUGUUCUCUGAUUGUUUGUGAUGUAGCUAGAAAUUCAUUUAUGGGUUUUGAGGUUGGGUAUUAGGCUUUCAUUUUUUAGGACUUUCGUCUCUGGAUUCCGAAGUUGGUAGAUACAUGUUUAGUGUUUAGGUUUCAGUUCUUAUUUUUAGGGUCUGAUGGUGUCUACUGAUUCAGGUUAGUUUUUUUAUCUUUUGAUUCUCUAUAUUGAGGUGUAAUUUUUGUGGAUUUGGUUUGUCAAUUCAGAGACUGGGUUUUUUGUUUGCUUUCUGGGAUUUUAGGUUGGCUUUUGUUGUUUUUUAAUGUUUAGAGUCACAUGAUUGUUAAACUAAUUUAUUGGUUUUUCAUGGUCUAUGUGACAUGUUGAAUGAAGAAGGUAUGUUAGUCUUGUUGUGUGUGAAGUUACAUGUUGAAUGAAGAAGGUAUGUUAUUGUUGUUGUGUUUCAAGUGGCAUUUUGUGAUCAUAUUGUUCAUUAAAGUUUUGUUGUAGGGGAUGUCUCAAAGUUUUGAUAUGAUUGGAGCUAUUGAUGAUAACAAAGAAACAUUCAAGCUUGUAGUUCGAAUUGUGGAUCGGGUUUGUCCAAGCCCGUGAAAAGUCUAAGCACCUUGAAAUGGUGUUGAUGGAUGGAAGGAGGGAUACAGUCCAUGCCAUUUUUAAGAAAGAUGAUAUGGAAAGUUGGGAAGUUGAACUUAAGGAAGGGAAAGCGUAUUAUAUGUACAACUUUAGGGUUGUUCCGAAUCAUGGCCUGUACAAAGUUUGAGCACAUCCAUUCAAGCUUUAUUUCACUGGUGGUACAACUCUGAGGCAAGUCGAUCUUGCUGAAAUUCCUCUUCAAUCAUACGAGUUUAUGAGUUUUGAAUACAUCACUCAUGGCAAUUAUGAUCCUAUUAUGUUGAUUGAUGUAAUUGGGGUUGUAGAGGAGGUCAAAUUUCAGCUUCCUAAUGGGAAUCCUACAAGAUUAGUUUUAAACCUUAAAGAUCUGAGGUGUUCGUGGAUUAACCAUCUCUAACUCACUAUAUGGAUCAAAGUUGCUCAUCAAUUAUGAAGUUCCUAAUUUUGCCAUCUAUAGAGAGAGGUAUAGUCUUAUUUGGGAUUAAAUCUUAUUUCACGUUUGAGUUGUUUUAUUAAUUUGUGUGUAGGUUGAGUUCUGUAUGUUUGGGAGAACCAUCAAAUGUCAGUCAGUCCCUCAGUAUAGGGCAAUAUUCUCAGGAUUCUGACUUUUCGGAGCUUGAUCGCUUUUUGUACAAGUCCAAGGUCCUUAGUAUUUCAAACAUUCGUGAUGCUGCUGGUGGCACUAAUUUCAAUACUAUUGGGAAUAGCUCCAAGUUGAUCAUGAAGAUGUAGCUUACACAUGUUCAUGUGGAAAAUUUAAUGAAAAAUCUAUUAUGAGGUAUAGGGUGGAGAUCAUGGUUUACCACGGAAAAGGAUCAACCACUUUUUUUUUUUGGGAUCAUGAUUGAACUAGAGUCAUUAGAAUGUCUGCUGCAGAUCUGAGAAACGUUAUGAUUCAAGCAAGUUUUGAAAUAGAAAUUAUAUGUUUUUCUUUUAUUUAAUUUCACAAUUUUUUAUUAACUUUCAUUGUGACCAUCUUUUUCAAACGGGAGAAGGUGGACCUAAACACUUUCCUCACCCUCUUGAUAAAAUACUUGGUCUAACUGUUGCGUUAAGGUGCAAGUACUAGCGCAAAUUCAAUUCCUCUUCUGUGAUGAAGAUGUCAAAUGAUGCUGAUAUUAUUAAAACUAUUACAGAGCAAAUAUAUGAUGAAGAGGGUGUAGCUGAUAUUAUCGAGCCAUCAUGUUAUAAAACUUAGGCAAGUCAGCUAGAGUUAUCCCAAAUUGAAGAUGUCAGACAGUUUGGUCAAGUGAGCAAAAAUGUUGUUGUUUUCUUAUUAUAUGGAUAUCAAUAGGUUGGGAGUGUGAUACUCAUUUUUUUUGAAUUACCACAACAAUCCUUAUCAAGUACAGCUGAUCAUGAUCCAUAUCAAGAUGCAAUAGUUACCCCCACAAAGAGAUUAUCUUCUGAGUUAUCACCUGGUGACCCAUCAUCUGAAGAAGUUCCAUCUGCACAGUUGUCUACCACAAAAUUACAAAACACAUUAAAAUUGAAUGAAGAAAAGGAUAGGCAAAUUAUGUGUUUUGUUUCAUUUAAAUUAUUAUGUAAUCCUCAGUGAUGUUUUUUUUAACAAACUAUUCAACAAAUGUUAUUUUGUUAUUGGAGUCAUUAUUCUUUCUGGAAUGUU